rnacentral:rRNA from 1 species
AGUGAACGCUGGCGAUAGGCCUAACACAUGCAAGUCGAACGGCAGCACAGUAAGAGCUUGCUCUUACGGGUGGCGAGUGGCGGACGGGUGAGGAAUACAUCGGAAUCUACUUUUUCGUGGGGGAUAACGUAGGGAAACUUACGCUAAUACCGCAUACGACCUACGGGUGAAAGCAGGGGAUCUUCGGACCUUGCGCGAUUGAAUGAGCCGAUGUCGGAUUAGCUAGUUGGCGGGGUAAAGGCCCACCAAGGCGACGAUCCGUAGCUGGUCUGAGAGGAUGAUCAGCCACACUGGAACUGAGACACGGUCCAGACUCCUACGGGAGGCAGCAGUGGGGAAUAUUGGACAAUGGGCGCAAGCCUGGUCCAGCCAUACCGCGUGGGUGAAGAAGGCCUUCGGGUUGUAAAGCCCUUUUGUUGGGAAAGAAAAGCAGCAGGUUAAUACCCCGCUGUUCUGACGGUACCCAAAGAAUAAGCACCGGCUAACUUCGUG